rnacentral:rRNA from 1 species
UACAGAGGUCUCAAGCGUUGUUCGGAUUCAUUGGGCGUAAAGGGUGCGUAGGUGGCGGGGUAAGUCAGGUGUGAAAUUUCGGAGCUUAACUCCGAAACUGCAUUUGAUACUGCCUUGCUUGAGGACUGGAGAGGAGACUGGAAUUCACGGUGUAGCAGUGAAAUGCGUAGAGAUCGUGAGGAAGACCAGUGGCGAAGGCGGGUCUCUGGACAGUUCCUGACACUGAGGCAGCGAAGGCCA